GCUCCCCUCCAGGACCACCAGCUCCCAGCCCAGGGCCCACGAGCCUCAGACUCAGUCCUGCCUUUGGUUUCCGUCCCAGGUGCUACAGGCCCUUUGGGGGUGGGGUGGGGGGGGACGGCUGAGCCUUUCCGGGACCUUGCUGCCCAUCUAUGAGGUCAGUGGUGGCCUCUUGCUGUCCCAUGUCGUGUCCCGUGAACCUCUGGUUUCCAGAUGAUUCCAGUGAAGAUGUGCUCAUCUUGCCCCUUUGUUCUUUACUGGGGUCACUUGCCCCGCAAAGCACAGUGGAAACCUGUUUGUUGUCUCCUGGUCUGUUCAGGCCCCCAGGCCAGGAGCACCUCUGACCACAAGACAAGUCCUCCUGGGGCUGGAACUGAGAAACGCAGAAGGUCCCCAGGGAGAAAGGCAGACACACCGUGUCCUCGCGCUUGGGGUGACGCAGACGGACGAGGAGAGCCCAGGAGCUGGACAAAACAGUGGAGCCGCACGGGACAGCCCAGGGACAGCCAUUUCUGGGCAGGCUGCCGUGGGGAAGCUUGUGAGGAGGCGGGAGCCAGAGCCCAUGGCAGGGUUGGGGUCAGGGAGCCAGCACGGGGGGCCCCCGAGGACUCUGUGUACCUCCCGCUCAAGUCACAUCAACAGGAGCGCUAGCAGAACCGGUGAGGCUGGUAUUUUCCAGAGCACCUCCACACUUACAGUCAUUUGGCCUCCACAAAAAUCUCCGGAAACGACCCGCUGCCCAUGCGACAUGUGAAUCCCCGUGAAGACACGUUCAGCAACACAGGACAUCUCAGGCCAAAGGAGGCUAUCAUCGUCUAUCGGGUUUUUUGUUUUGUUUUGUUUUUGGAAAAAAUAGCAAAUCACAGCACACAUCAGCUGAGUUUCGGGCUUUCUGUAAUUUUAUACUUAAAUUUGUCUGCAAUCCGCUUAAGAUAGUUCAGAAGUCACAAAAGCAUUGCUAGACCAUUUUGUUCCCAAGUUUUGCUAAUUGGUUUCAAAAGAGGUACAACUCCAUGAACGCGGAGCCCUAUUCUGAUCGGCAGCCACCAAAGAAUGACAAAGACACGGGAGAGGAGAGCAGAGGGAGGCUGCUGGGCGCAGCACGAGCAGCGCCAAAGCUCUUUCACUUCUUACCUUCGGAAAAGCACUUCGAAGUCUAUUUCAGCGUUCACGUGCUACCGGUGUUUAAACGUUUUCCCCUCAAGAGCAGCAGCUGGCAGUCAGGACAUACCUGUGCCGCGUGUGGCCCCAGAUGCCGGCAGGCGUGACGUGUGAGCUUGUGGGUUCCCUGCACGGCCCGCACGGCGGAUGGGGAGUGCGAGCGAAGCCUUCCGGGGUGGCCUCCGUGUGUUCCAGGGGCCGCUGAGGCCGCCCACCAGGCAGCUCCUGCCAGCAGCUCCCAGACCCCCAGGCCCUGGAGGCCACUGAACUUACGGAACAUUCAGAAACAGCUCUUAUGAGGUCGCCAAGUAUCUCCCUGACGCAACCCAAGACCCACCUUUUAGUCCUGGAAGACUGAGCACACAGACGGACAAUGGCCGGACCGUCUCUGAAAGUGGGACUCGGCCCCCGGGCCGCAGCAGCCAGCCCGGAAGCCAACUUCCGUCUCUCAGCUGGCCCUCGGGGACCAGCACUGGGCCAGCGGCUGCAGCGUCCUCAAGUCAGGACCGGCCCGCGAAGCCAACGAUGCCCCCUGAGCAACCAUGGGACACCCGUACCGGUCCGCUGCGGCUGCAUAACAAACACCGUGAGCGGGGAAGGACCGGAUGGAAGCAGACGAGGCCGGGCCACACAGGAGCCCAGGAAGCUUGACCACAGCUGCUGCAGGCCAACCGGCCAGACAGCCAGCACUGGGUCAGUGGCUGUGGCUUCCCCAGUCUUUCCCCUCUUCCGACUCAGGACCAAAUAUGCCCUUAACCGAUCUAGUGGGAUGCUCGCCCCCCCCCCAAGUCCCCUGGGGGCACCUGCACCAGCCUCGCACCACCAGCAUCCCCACACACCUACCUGCCUGUGGGUGGCCGGAUGCCAAGCAGGGGUUUGUUCUCAUCGGGGGUGCUCUUCGUUUCUCUCUGCAGACGUCGUUCAUUCAGUAAACAUGUAUUUACUCA